UCCUUUUGUCUAGUGGUUAAGAUGUUCGGUUCGGAACCCAAAGGUCCCCGGUUCUAUACCGCCGCCAAAUGGUG
rnacentral:tRNA from 13 species